rnacentral:tRNA from 2 species
GUUCCGUUAGCUCAGCCUGGUCAGAGCGGCGGCCUCUUAAGCCGCGCGUCGGGGGUUCGAAUCCCUCACGGAACA